CAACAAAGCACCUUGGUUUCAACCAACAAAGCACCUUAGUUUCGACCAACAAAGCACCUUGGUUUCAACCAACAAAGCACCUUGAUUUCAACCAACAUAACACCUUGGUAUUAACCAACAUAACACCUUGGUUUUAACCAACAUAACACCUUGGUUUUAACCAACAUAACAGCUUGGUAUCAAAAAACGACUAGUUUAUCCUGAAACUAAUUUGAGUUGCACUAUUAAUAUUUUAUGUGAUUGAAUAAAUGUACAAAACACACCUGUUUGUCAACUAUUUGUUGGGUGAUUGCCACGUGGUGUCAAGAUUUCAAUAUUUAGCCGAUAUUCGCUAUCACUUUACCAUAAGAUAUCCUUAUAGGUACCUUAAAGUCAAUUAUUACCACGUAUUCUCCUAUUGGUAUUCAACAAAAGUCUUGAUUGACCCGAAUGAGUUUUAGGUCUUAAAUGGAAAAACAAGCACCAUGCUAAAUGUUAUGUUGAUUCUGUGUGGAUAUUAUAAAGCAUGUUUUUGUUCUACAUUUGCAAGAAAAAUCUGUCCCCUUACUGAGGGUAGUCUACAGUAUGGUCAUCUUUCAGGAAACACAAAGGCCCUGUUUUAGUGUCCGACUUCACAAAUCACAAGUCUUUCAGACGGAAUCAUAGAAAAAUCUGUAUUUUCCAGAGGAUGUCAUACGGAUUCCUGUACGGUAGCCUAAGGCUAAUAAUACAGACUAAUCAACUGACAUGAUCAACAUGUGAAAACUCUGUGUUGAUCUGCUGGUUUUGUGUUGUUAAUUGAUUAUGUCUGUCGGCAUAAGACCAUAGCAGUUAGUUGUAGUUGAAGUUACCUGGAAUAGCCUGGUGAAACGAUGUGCUUCAUUUACGCACUUUUAAACACUGUGCUUCCUUCAGGGUUACAGAUGUAUAUUCAGUGCAUAUAAUUUUCAAACCAAUGACACACAUACAGUGUAUAGCCUGAGUGCCAGUUUGUUUGUGCUAUCAUGCCAACUCCUUGUCACUCGUUAUUUGUCUGACAUUGACAGCAAGGACACAAACAGAUCUGGGACCAGGCUAACACAUACAAAGCAUUACAGAUUUACAGAACUGAGUCCAUUCUACCCAACAGCUCAAACAGCAGACUAGUGAAAUAUUGACCCAACAAGAAUUCACUUUAAUUACUGUAUCACUGCUCACACCGUACUUAUAUAGCAACUAGGCUGUAUCUGUUGUACAAAUAUAGAUAUUUUAGCUAUCUUGUAUUCUUUGUCCUUCAGUAGACGACAGUGAUAUUUAUUUAUAUAAAAUGACAUGAAUCUACAGCCCAAGAUGCUGAGUAGUGACACAGUAUCUGUUUGGUUUUACAAGUGUUUCAAAUUGUGUCCCACAUUAAUUACAGUGUUUCAAUUCAUUAAAUAAUUCACCCCUUCAUUAAGGUGUUAAUUGAUCAAUUAAGUAAAACAAUGAAAGCGCAUUUAAACAGCUGUUUACUAUUUGUUUGUCUUCUUCCUGAAACAGUAUGUUGUUGUUGUUGUUGUUGUUAGUAAAUGUUUUUGUAGUGUAAUAUAUAAAAUGUUAUAUUUUUGCAAUAAAAUGAAAACA
ensembl:lncRNA